rnacentral:rRNA from 1 species
GUCCAGACUCCUACGGGAGGCAGCAGUGGGGAAUCUUCCGCAAUGGGCGCAAGCCUGACGGAGCAAUGCCGCGUGAACGAAGAAGGUCUUCGGAUUGUAAAGUUCUGUCCUUAUCGAAGAGAGGGUAUAGAGUGAAAAAUGAUAUACUAGGACGGUAGAUGAGGAGGAAGCCCCGGCUAACUACGUGCCAGCAGCCGCGGUAAUACGUAGGGGGCGAGCGUUGUCCGGAAUCACUGGGCGUAAAGGGCGCGUAGGCGGUAAUAUAAGUCAGAUGUGAAAGGUGGGGGCUCAACCCCUAGAGUGCAACUGAUACUGUAUAACUUGAGUGUGAGAGAGGGAAGCGGAAUUCCUAGUGUAGCGGUGAAAUGCGUAGAUAUCGAGAGGAACACUCGUGGCGAAGGCGGGUUCCUGGACAUUAACUGACGCUGAGGCACGAAGGCCAGGGGAGCGAAAGGGAUUAGAUACCCGCGUAGC